CAGGGAAGAUGGAGGUGAGAUAAUCAUCAGGUUGCCUUUCAUCCACUAUCCACUUUAGCUUUUCCCACCCCCACACUGUUAGGUUGAUUAGAUUGGGAAAUGAAAAGGAUAAGGGCCAUGGGAAUUCAUCUAAAUUCUCCGAGAAGGGGCCUAAUUCCAAUCUUUCAAUUGUAGAACUCACACUUUGGGCAAACACCACAUAGUUCGGACAUCUCGAAACAGAAAGAUCUUUUAGACCAUCCGACCCUUUGAUAACAUUAAUAGUAUUCAGGUCAUGCAAAUCAUGUACCCUCAAUCCUCAAAGUUUCCAAAGUCACAGAAUUGUUUUUCAAGAGCUCGCCCAUUAUGCAGUUCAUACUUGAAGAAGAAGAGGAGGAGGAAGAGCAUCCUACCCCGCCACUGAUAUUCAGGAGUUGUCAAUCUGUGAGACCACAUGCCUUUGUGCUUAUUGAUUCCAGUAGCUUGCUCCUGUCCUAUUUCUCCUCAUCUUUUUCCCUGCGAUUUUCUCUAUAGUAGAUAUUUAACAUGCAGAAAAUUAGAGUUACAUGGAAGAAAUAUGAAUUUAUUUUAUGUGCUAAGCAGUCGAGAAUUAGAAGUUCAGAAGCUCUAAUUUUAGUGUUAUUAUAUAACAAAGAUUUGCUAAGUAAAGAAAUUGCUAAACAUACAGUAGUAAGAGCAUCUCCAACCAUCUAAAGCCCUUGGCUAAAAGAUGAGUUGGCUUACUUAAAAUAAAAAAAUUUAGUCAACAGCUCCAAAAACUCAACUCCAACCAUGCUCACCUGUUGUCUGUAAAUUUAGCCAACCUCCUAUGGAUGGCUAAAUUUGUCGAACCUCUACAGGUCUGUAAGAAAAUCUGUAGGAAGAUUGUACAUCAUUUAUUACCAUAUUGAACUGAUAUAUUCUAUUUUAACAAUUUAAAAUAUUAAUAACAUACUAUUUUUAAAUUAUAGCCAACCAAUAUAUCCCGUUCCAUUGAAGCAAAAUGUCUUGCAGGUUCAGCAAAUUUUACAUAAUGUCUUACAGGUUCAAUUUAGCCAACGAUUAUAGCGAACGCCGUUGGAGAUGCUCUAAUCCGUAACCUGUAAAUACAAGUUUAUUAUCUAAAAGAACAAAGAGAUAAAUAUCACAUAAUUAACGUGGCAUCCUCUGCACGUCCUCCAGCCAUGUCUGAUAUGCUAUCUUUGCGGGUGAAUAUGACUGUCAUGACAUUACUCUCAUCAAUCAAGCCCAUCUAUUUGUUUGAUGUGUUGGAUUUUUGACCAUUCCGGCCCACUUCCCUUCCUGUAUCUUUCUUUUAUUAUAGGACAGUUAAAUAUAUUCAGAAACUGAAAGUUGUGAUGGAACUUUGGUAAACUCUCCAAAUUUCCACAACUCUCAAUAUAUAACCUUUCCAGAAAUGGAAGUUUUUCUAGUGAAAUGGGAAGAGUUUUCACUCCUUCAAACCUCCUUAUACUCAAAUCACGCAAGGCAGGGAAGAUGGAGGUGAGAUAAUCAUCAGGCUGCCCUUCAUCCACUAUCCACUCUAGCUUUUCCCACCCCCACAAUGUUAGCUUGAUUACAUUCGGAAAAGAAAAGGAUAAGGGCCAUGGGAAUUUAUCUAAAUCCUCCGAGGAGCGUCCUAAUUCCAAAAUUUCAAUUGUUGAACUCACACUUGAGGCAAACACCUCAUAGUUCGGACACCUCGAAAUAGAGAGAUCUUUUAGAGCAUCCGACCCUUUGACAACAUUAAUAGUAUUCAGCUCUAGCAAAUUAGUCAAUCUUAAGCUCUUUAAACCUGCACCAAGUGUCAGGUAUGUCAAUCCCUGUAACUUUCCUACACACAAAGUUUCCAAAGACACAGAAUUGUUUUUCAAGAGCUCGCCCAUUAUGAAGUUCAUACUCGAAGAAGAGGAGCAUCCUACUCCGCCACUGAUAUUCUGGAGUUGUAAAUCUUUGAGACCGCAUGCCUUUUCGCUCAUUGAUUCCAGUAGCUUGCUGCUGUCCAAGUCUGUGAUAUGCAGUGUCUUCAUCAAUGGAUAACAACUACCCGGAAUCCUUGUCAACUUUGGACAUUCUAGAAUCCGUAACUCCUCGAGUUUAGGAAAUACUAGCACAUUAUCCAUAGCUGGGUCUUGCCAUUCUUCUAGAUUUGGCAAAAUGCGUAAAUGAAGAUUUUUCAAUGACGGAUACAUUGUUGCAACUGUUUCUUCUUCCCCAUUUUCACCACUAAUGCUACUUUGACUUCCACAUAAAUGGCUCCUGAUAACCUUGACGUUAUCCAUCCCCUCUAUCCAGAUCUUCCUCAAUUUAGGAAGAUGACCCAGCUGUGGAAACUCUUCACAUCUUUUGCAAUUGUCAAAUGUGAUCACUUCCAAGUUUAUCAUCAUUAUAAUCCAAGUUGCAAACUUCUUUCCCCAAAAGAUCUCAACAGCCAAUUCUUUUAGAUUUGUGUGAGGUUGUAAUCCUUCCAUCACAUCCUCAUGGUUGUUUUCUUUUUCUUCCAUCACAUCUAUAUUCCAGCUCCAGACUAACUUUAAAUGCUCAAUAUUAGAUUUUGUAUGCAAACUCGCCUUUCUUGCUUCUUCCAUAUUCUCUACAUCAUUAAGCCCAUAAAUCUUCAGAGUACCUUGAAGAUUUUUUAAACUUCCCAAUUGUCCGAUAAGACACUGAUGAUCUCUACUCACAACAUAUUGAGGCAGUGUUUGAAGACAAGUUAACCUCUCUAUCUUAGAAAACAUGUCCGAACUCCCCAACUCAACGUCAUGAACGACAAGAAUAUGUCUUAAAUUGAUUAAGUUGCAAAUCUUUCUUGGAAGCUGUGUUGUAAUCCAAACGCUCAAUGUCUGCAAGUUGUAGAGUCUCGUGAAGUAAUCAGGCAAUUUAUAAAUAAUGCCGAAAUUUGAGAUAUCCAAAUACUUAAGAUACUUCAGAUUGCUCAAUGAAUUUGGCAACUCACCCCUUAAGCUAUGUUUUAGAACCAAACCAAUCAAGUGACUGGGGUAAGGCACCAAGUCGUUGACGAUGUAGGCCUCUGCGUACAAUACUUGUACUUUCUCAAACUUUCUCUUAAGAAUGGGUGGUUUAAUAUUCGAAAUCCCUUCAUCAACCCUCACAUAUAUGGCGUUGGAAAUAUGGUUUAACUCAUGAUCAGCCUCCACAGUUACAGAAUGAUUUUUAGAAAGAUCUAGUGCUAGAUCGUGCACUAGAUCAUGCAUCUUGCAACUGGUACCAUAUUUAUUCCUUCUCACAUCUUGUAACAAACAAUUCCACACCAAUAUGUUAAAGUAUUCGCUCCCAACGUCUUCCAUGAGAAUAUUGCUACCUUUAGGAGGCAAAAGGAAUCCUAAUGCCAUCCAUAUACGUAUCAUUUCAUUUUUCCAAACAGUAGAAUCCUUUGGCAAAAUUGAACAAUAUGUAAAACAUUUUUUUAGAGAAGAAUAAGGUAGAUUAUCAUAAGACAGUCUCAAGGAAGACAAUACACCAUCCGAAUUCCACCUUGGAUUAUUUUGAAUCCCCCUAGUGUCUUUAUUGCCAAAGGCAGGCCACCACACCUUUCCACCAUUCUUUUUCCCAUGGCCGUAAAUUUUGGCGUUUCUAAAACUCCUCCUGGUGAAAAUGCUCUUCGCUUGAACAAUUCCCAACUAUCUUCUUCUGAUAAUUUGCCCACCUUAUAAGAAAUAACACUUCGCAUGGCAUUAACGACUUCCUGUUUGCGAGUAGUAACUAAAAUCUUGCUUCCACUCGCUCCACGAACACCGAGCAAGGAAUUCCUUAAGUUAUCCCACUCCUCUGGUCUCUCAUUCCAGACAUCAUCUAAGACGAGUAAAAACUUUACCCCGCUUAGAGAGUUUUGAAGUUUUUUAAUGACGCCUUCUGGAUUUUCUAUCGAGGAGGCAGUUGAAGUGAGUGAAGCUACCAUUUGAUUUAAAAUCUUCAUGAAAUCAAAAUCAUCUGAGACAGAGACCCAGAUCCUCUCGGUGAACAUAUCAGUUACAACAUCUCUAUUGUAAACCAUACGAGCAAGAGUUGUUUUGCCUUGACCUCCCAUCCCCAUUACAGCAAUUACUGGUAAAUCCUCCGCAUGAUUUGUGCACACUGUUUCGACCAAAAAUGAUAUAUCAUCCUCUCUUCCAACUAUCUGUGACUCAUCUUCACAGGGGGGAGUAUUGCGGAUUUCCCUGGGCUGCACAGUACUAGUUAACUGCGCCACAGGCUGAAGCCCGAGUUUUCCAGCCCAUUCAAAAAUUUUGUCGAAAGAAGAAUUGAUAGACUUGAUCUUUUGAGCAACUUUAAAACGAUAAAGUAUGCUAUUCUUAGUAGAAAACAAGUCCCUCAACGUACUGCGAUUUUCAACCUUUCGCCGAGUGAUUUCAUAAGCAAGUUGAUCCAUGAAAGCAUCAGCUACACGAGCAACAGCCUCCAGUUUGCUGAACCAGCUCUGGACAGCAGACAGCUUUAGUCUUUUGCUAUCAGCAUCGGACAAGAGAGCAUUAAUCUCUUCCAACCUUUCUUGCAGCGUUACCAGAUCUUCCUGAAGAUUCCAAGCCUGGAUCAAUUCUUCAGCUGCAAGUGAAACAAGCCUGAAAACCAGGCCACUAGCAAGAUCAACUACCAAUGCAUCAGCCAUCUUUAUGAGCACAGGAAAAGAAAUGUUUGUAAUGUAUGGAGAUUAUAAUUUGAUACAGUGUAAUACAAGUUCAAUUACAAUGUAAGAAUACAGAUUCUUGGCCCGAAUAAGCAGGGGCGGUCCUGGCCCAGUGCAGCCAGUGCCCCCGCACUUGGCCCACUGGAGUCGAGGGCCCAAAAUAAAGUUCACAGUUAAGAUGGCCUGAUGAGUGAUGCAGCCAUCCCAUGCAGAGUUUUAUAUGUAUUUCAGUUUUUAUCACCUACGUUUCAGACUUUCUGUUGCUAGUAAUCAGUCCUACUUAAUUUAAAAUUUAUUUUAUACUUUUUAUUUAUUUUAAUUAAUUUGGACAUGUAAAUUCAAUUAAAACUUACGUGCUUAUUCUGCAUAAUUAUUAAUUUUAUAGCGAAUGCUUAUCAAUAAUGUCCUCAUAUAACACACUAUAGAAAAAUUAAAAUUUUAAUUACUAUAAAAGAAUUUUAAGGUUUUUCAUUGUAUCAUUUGAUUUCCUCUUAUUUCUUGUUCUAUUUUUCAUUUCUCUAAAGUAAGACUUUUAUGCAGUUCAUUAUUCUUUUUAUCCAAACUUUAGCAUUAUCAUUUAAUCAUCCUUACCAAUUUUUUGAGUUUCAUAAUAAUUUUGCUAAUUCAUAUUUAUUUGAUAUGAAUUAUAUAUUAAUUUGAAUUUAAAUGUGAGUAAUACUUUUAAAUAAGUUAAAAUAUGAUUAAUCUAUUUUAUAAAAGGGCCCAAAAUUAUUUUUCGCGCCGGGCCCUAUAAUCCUCAGGACCGGCCCUGCGAAUAAGGUUUGCAUUAAAAAUUCAACUUGCCCAAUUAAUUAACAUAUUUCCCAGUACCCUAGUACCGACACCCAGUGGCAACUCCCAUACAUUACCACUACCUCUAGCACUAAAAGUUAAACCCGAGGUAAUGAAAAAUACAAUCCAUUUGUUUCUUUCAUUUCUUAUGACUUAGCCUGGUCUUUGUGAUCAUGCUCCUACUCACAUGUCCACGGCUGAGCAUUGUAGAAAGUCGAGCCUUGUGGUCAAUCACGCUAAUGAAUGUGAUCAAGCACGUGACAGAGCUGGCUCUAUUAGCGUGGCAACUCCAAUAUAACCCCUAGCAGCUAGCACUGUAAGUUAAACCCGAGGAAAUAAAAAAUACAAUCCGCGUGGUCCUUUCAUUUCUUACGACUUUCCACUUUUUUAUCUCCUUAUUUUUUGUCUCAAAAUAACUUGACUUUCCACUGUUAAAGAGGAGAACCUGAAUUCAUUUUCCAGAAAUCAUGUCACAGAUAUAUUUUUUUUCCUUGAACUAAGCAAGUGUGGGAAAAUAUAUCCCAGAAAUUUUUGCUUUAAACCAUGAAAAUAUUUUUUUAGGAUAUUAAAAUACGCUAGGAAAAAAGAGCAUCAAUAGUUUCCAACCUUUCUUGCAGCGUUACCAGAUGUUCCUGAAUGUUAAGCCUGGAUCACUUGUUCAGUUGCAAGUGAAACAAGCUUGAAAAGCAGGCCACUAGCAAGAUCAGCUACCAAUGCAUCAGCCAUGUUUAUGAGUAUAGCUGUUUAGUAAAACAAAUGUUUGUAAUGUAUGGAAAUGUAUAGCAGAUUACAAUGAAAUAAUAUUGCAGAUUCUUGCUUCGAACUGGGUUGAGCAGAAGCCAGUGAAUGAUGGGUAGGGUAGUUAAAUUACAAGUUAAAAUGCAAAUUUCAAUGUGUAGUAAUGCAGAUUCCAAAGAUUUUCGCCAGAAACGAGUGAAUAUUUGCAUUAAAAAUUCAAUUUUUGCCAAUUAAUUAAUACUAAUCUCCCAGUACCCUCCAACUCCAAUACAUUACCUCUAGCACUAGCUAUAAGUUAUCCCUGAGGAAAUAAGAAAUACAAUUCACGUGAUCCUUUCAUUUCUUAUGACUUUCCACUUUUAUAUUUCCUUAUUUUUUGUCUCAAAAUAAUUUGAUUUCCAUUAUUAAUUAAAGCGGAGAAUGUGAAGUCAUUUUCCAGUCUCCAGAAAUCAUGUCAUAUAUUUCAGAGAAAUUAUUCUAGGAUAAUAAAUAUUUUACUUUCUAGGAACUAAACAUAAAACAAGUGCAGGAAAAUAUCAUAAGUUUAUCUAUGCACCAGCUCUCCCUUUGGACAUUCUGGUAUGUAGGUUGGAGUAGUAGGUUGAAUGCAUUGCAUCUAAUAAAUCCUCCCAGAAGGGUCCUAAUUCCAGAUAUUUUAGACCAUAUAUCCAACCCUUUAAUGACAUUAAUAGUAUUCAGGUCAGGCAAAUCAUGCACACUCUUUAAGCCUACGUCAGGUGUCAAGUAUGUCGAUCCCCGUAACUUAUAAGUAAUCCUUAAUAUUAAAUUAAAAUCAUUAAUCUAUCAAAUUUUUUAAAAUCAAUAAUCUAUCAAAUUUAUUUUAUUAAUAUUUUAGUAACUUAUAAGUACUCCAUAAUAUUAAAUUAAAAUCAAUAAUCUGUCAAACUUUCUAUUAUUAUUAUGUUAAUAACUCGGAAAUCAUCUAUAAUACUUAAUUAUCCAAACAGACAUUUUAAGCGAGGCACUUACUACAAGAGCAUCUCCAAUGAGGAUCUUAAAUCACUCUUUAAAAUAUAAUAUAAUAUGUGGCUCAUACUGAGUUAAGAUAUUAAAAAAAGAUGACAACUCUUAUCUAUACUUGCUCCUUAUUCAUAUUUUAUUCCUACAAAUGAGAGGGAAAGUACAAAAACAGAAAUGUUGGAGAUAAAAUUGGAAGAAAAUUAAUAUUAUAUUCAUAAAUAAAAAGCUAAGAGCUACUAGAUGCUCUUUAAAGAGAGGAAAAAUGCCGGCUCUUACAUUUUUAAAGAGUUUUCAGGAGCCCAGUCGAGCUCUAAUUUUCAUCUUACUCUUUAAAUUUGAAAUUAAAAGCUUGUUUAGAGAGUCUGUUGAAAAUACGAGGCAUACCCAUAUAUUGAAGGAUGAAGGCUGGUGCACCAUUUGCGAAAUGAAUUAAGUAUUUGGUAAAAUUCAAAUGUAGGAGUAAUAUAUAUGAUGCAUCAAAUAUUUAUCAUGAGACCAUGAGUAAAAUUAACUUGACAUAUACGUAUUAUUUUAUCAACUUCAACGAAAUAACGAAUGUCUUUUAUUAUUUCUUAACUAUUAUAUUGCAUGAUUAGAUGUCAAAGUGCAUGAUAAUUGCCUCGCUUGAUUCGUAUUUAGAAUAGAGCAAGUUUAUUAUGUGUUGUUAACUAACAAAUAACAAUGAUAGAAUACAGAAAUGUAACAGACCUCAUUCAAAUUUUCUUAACAUCACUGUAUGACGUUACUCUCAUCAGCCGAGCCCCACUAUUUGUUUGAUGUGUUGGAUUUUGGACCAUUCCGGCCCACUUCCCCUCCUGUAUCUUUCUUUUAUUAUAGGACAUCCAAUUAUAUCCAGGUACUGAAAGUUGUGAUGGAACUUUGGCAAACUCUCCAAAUUUCCACAAUUCCAAAUAUAUAAACUCUCCAGAAAUGGAAGCUUUGCUAGUGAGAUGGGAAGAGAUUUCACUCCUUUAAAACUGUCUAUCCAUAAUUGACGCAAGGCAGGGAAGAUGGAGGAGAGAUAAUCAUCAGGUUGGCCUUCAUCCACUAUCCACUUUAGCUUUUCCCACCCACUCACUGUUAGCUUGAUUACAUUGGGAAAAGAAAAAGACAAAGGCCAUGGGAAUUCAUCUAAAUCCUCUGAGAAUGGUCCUAAUUCCAAUCUUUCAAUUGUACAACUCACACUUUGGGCAAACACCUCAUAGUUCAGACACUUCGAAAUGGAAAGAUAUUUUAGAGCAUCCGACCCUUUGACAAUAUUAAUAGUAUUCAGGUCUGGCAAAUCACUCACACAUAAACUCUUUAAACCUGCGCCGAGUGUCAAAUGUGUCAAUCCCUGUAACUUUAUUACCCUCAAAGUUUCCAAAGAGACAGAAUUGUUUUUCAAGAGCUUGCCGAUUAUGCAGUUCAUACUUGAAGAAGAACAAGAUGAGGAGGAGGAGCAUCCUACUCUGCCACUGAUAUUAUCGAGGUAUACACCUGUGAGGCCGCAUGCCUUUUCGCUCAUUGAUUCCAGUAGCUUGCUGUUGUCCAAGUCUUUGAUCUUCAGAGUCUUCAUCAACGGAUAACAACUUCCCGGAAUCCUUGUCAACUUUGGACAUCCCCAAAUAAUUAACUCCACGAGUUCAGAAAAUGCUAGCACAUUAUUUCGGUCUUCAUCGCUUGUAUCCGUGGCUGGGUCUAGCCAUUCUUCUAGCUUUGGCAUAUUGUUUAAAGAAAGAUUUUUCAAUGACGGAUACAUUGUUAAAACUGUUUCUUCUGCCCCAUCAUCAUUUAACUCACCACUAAUGCUACCCUGUCUACCUCCACAUAAAUGGCUGCUUAUAACCUUGACGUUAUCCAUCCCUUCUAUAUCGAUCAUCCGCAAUUUAGGAAGAUGACCCAGCUGUGGAAACUCUUCACAUCUGUUGCAAUUUAUGAAGGUGAUAACUUCCAAGUUUGUCAUGAUUGUAAUCCAUGCUGCAAACUUCUUUCCCAUAAAGUUCUCAACAAUCAAUUCUCUUAGAUUUGCAUGAGGUUCUAAUCCUUCCAUCACAUCCUCAUGGUUGUUUUCUUUUUCUUCCAUCACAUCUUUAUUCUUUCUCCAGUCUAACUGUAAUCGCUCAAUAUUCGAUUUUGUAAGCAAACUCGCCUUCCUGGCUUCUUCCAUAUUCUCUACAUCACUAAGGCCAUAAAGCGUCAGAGUACCUUGAAGAUUUCUUAAACUUCCCAGUUGUCCAAUAACACAUUGAUGAUCUCUACUCACAAUAAAAAAAGGCAGCGUUUGGAGACAAGUUAACCUCUCUAUCCGAGAAAACACAGUGAUGAUGUCCGAAUUCUCAAAGUCGUAGUAAGGCGCAUCGACCAGAAUAUGUCUUAAAUUGAUUAAGUUGCAAAUAUUUCUUGGAAGCUGUGUUACACUCCGAACGCUCAAUGUCUGCAAGUUGUAGAGUCUCGUAAUGUAAUCAGGUAAUUUAUUCUUAGUCAUGUAGCAUCUUGAGAUAUCCAGAUACUUAAGAUACUUCAGAGUGCUCAAUGAACUUGGCAACGGAUCAUCUUCGAAGGUUCCUUCGAGAACCAAACCAAUUAAGUGACUGGGGUAAGGCACCAAGUCCUUGACGAUGGGAGCAUCUGCGUAUAAUACUUGUACUUUCUCAAAAUUUCUCUUAAGAAGGGGUGGCUUAAUAUUUGUAAUCCCUUUAUCAACCUUCACAUAUAUGGCCUUGGAAAUAUCGUUUAACUCAUGACCAUCAGCCUUCACCGUUGCAGAAUGAUUUCUGGAUAGAUCUAGUGCUAGAUCAUGCACCAGAUCAUGCAUCUUGUAAUCACGUAUGUCGCCAUUUUGUAACAAACAAUUCCCCAACAAUAUGUUAAAGUAUUCCCUCCCUAUAUCUUCCAUAAGCUUAUUGCUACCUUUAGGGGGCAAAAGGAAUCCUAAUGCCAUCCAUAUACGUACCAUUUCAUCUUUUGAGAUACGAGAAUCCUUUGGCAAAAUUGAACAAUAUGCAAAACAUUUCUUUAGAGAAGAAUGAGGUAGAUUAUCAUAAGACAACCUCAAGGAAGGCAAUACAUCAUCGUUCGAAUCCCACGUUGCACUAUCUUGAAUCCGCAACCACUCUUGCUCAGACUUCUUAGAGUGCAGUAAACCCCCUAGUGCAUUUAUUGCCAAAGGCAGGCCACCACACCUUUCCACCAUUUCUCUUCCCAUGGCAGCAAAUCUCGCCGUCUCUAUGACUCCUCCUCGUGAAAAUGCUCUUCGCUUGAACAAUUCCCAGCUAUCUUCUUCUGAUAGUUUCUCCACCCUAUGAGUAAUAAAACAGCGCAUGACAUCAACGACUUUCUGUUUGCGAGUCGUAACUAAAAUCAUGCUUCCACUCGCUCCACCAACCCCGAGCAAGGAAUCCCUUAACUUAUUCCACUUCUCUGUUCUCUCAUUCCAGACAUCAUCUAAGACGAGUAAAAACUUUACGUCCCUUAGAAAGCUUUGAAGUUUCUUAAUGAGUCCCUCUGUAUUUUCCAACACCGAAGCAGUUGAAGUGAGUGAUGCUACCAUUUGAUUUAAAAUUUUCAUGAAAUCAAAGUCAUCCGAUACAGUGACCCACAUCCUCUUCUUGAACAUAUCGGUUACAACAUCUCUGUUGUAAACCAUACGAGCAAGAGUUGUUUUGCCUUGACCUCCCAUCCCCAUUACAGCAAUGACUGGUAAAUCCUCUGCAUGAUUUGUGCACACUGUUUUGACUAAAAAUGAUAUUUCAUCAUCUCUUCCAACUAUUAGUGACUCGUCUUCAAAGGGGGGAGUAUUGCGGAUUUCCCUGGCCUGCACAGUAGUAGUUAAUUGCGCCAAAGUCCCAGAUCUCUGGCCAAUUGAAAAAUUUUGUCGAAAGAAGUAUGGAUAGACUUGAUCUUAUGAGCAACCUUAAAACGAUAAAGUAUGCUCUUCUUCGUAGAAAAAAAGUCCCUCACCUUACUACGAUUUUCAACCUUUUGCCGAGUGACUUCGUAAGCAAGUUCAUCCAUGAAAGCAUCAGCUACAUGAGCAACAUCCUCCAGCUUGUUGAACCAGCUCUGGACAGCAGACAUGUUUAGCCUUUUGCUAUCAGCAUCGGACAAGAGAGCAUCAAUAGUUUCCAACCUUUCUCCCAGCGUUACCAAAUCUUCCUGAAGAUUCCAAGCCUGGAUCAAUUCUUCAGCUGCAAGUGAAACAAGCUUGACAACCAGGCCACUAGCAAGAUCAGCCACAAAUGCAUCAACCAUGUUUGUAUAGCUGUAUAGGAAAAGAAAUGUUUGUAAUGUAUGGAGAUUAUAAUUUGAUACUCCAGAACUUCCAAUGCGUUGAAGUUAAGUAACAAUGAAAUAAUGCAGAUUCUUGGCCCGAAUACAAUUUGCACAAAAAAUACAAUUUGUGUCAGCAUCAACUCGUCAACUGAAUCAACUACCCUUGCCAACUAAUCUCACCAACUCCAGUACAUUACCUCUAGCACUAUAUAUAAGUUAAUGCCCAGGAAAUUAAAAAUGACCAUCCGUCUACCCCUGCUUAUUGGUUUGUUUCUUGUGACUUUCCAUUUUCUUAUUUCCACAUUUUUUUGCCCAAAAAUAAAUUGAUUUUCCAGAAACUAAGAACCAACUCCGCCGUGAAAAGCCCUUAGACUAUAAAUUGAGUUAGAUGCCAAAAAUAAAAAAAUAUAGAUAAUUUUUUUAAAACUCACUCAAAACAUAUAUGUAACUGCCACAUCAUCAAUUACCAUAUUAAAAAAAUACAUUUUAUUUAUAAUAAUUUCAAAAUAAUAAUAUAUUAUUUUUAAAAUAUAACCAAUCAAUAUUAUCGAAAUAAAAAGUUUUACAGCUUGAGCAAAUUUUACAUAAUGUUUCAAUUUAGCCAAACAUAUAACCGACCUAAUUAGAGAUGCUCUCAACAAGCGUUGAACAUAUUUUUCAAAAGUUUUGAUUUUGAACAAUAAAAAUAUUUUUAAGAAUCAAUACCCUUUAUUAAUAAGCGAAACCACGUUUCAGUUGAACAUCAGUACGAAAACACCAAAAUUUGGUCAUCAUAUAUUAUAUUUAAUUAUUAUUAUUAUAUCAUUAUUAUACUCCUAUUAAAAGUAUUAUACUCCAAUUAAAAGAUAUAAGACAUAUAUAUUGUUCAGGACUUUUUUACAUAACAAUUAUUCAUGAUAUCAUUCUAUCCCAAUAUAACUAAAUAUUUUAAUUUAGGGUAAGAAGGGUAGUUUAUAAACAGAGAUAUUACUCGAAGUGAAGGUACUCUAAUUAGUAUAUUGUUCAUUUAAACAUUAUAUGUAAUUUUUCGAGUUUUUUGAUUCAUAUAUAUAUGUAUAUUUUAUCUGGUUCUUUAGUUUUGUGAUCAAUUUAUUGUCCAUAUAUAAUACUCUUGCACGAGUCCAUAUAUACAAAUGAAAUUCUUACUUCGCUGCAAUAAACAUGGGUAUUUAUGAUGGAUAACUUAUUACGAAAAAGGUGGGCGCACAUAAUUAACUUAUAAUGGAAAGACAAAAUCGUCAAAUGAUAUAAUACAAACAUAUGACAGACACAGCUCCCGUCGUAUUAUAAGAUGUGUGUAAUAAAAUUUUAGCACUAACAGAUAAAAUAGCAAUAAUAUUAUUUCACGCAUCAAAAUCGUCGCAAGUUCGCGUCGUAAUAUUGCUGAAGACCAAGUUAAAUGUCGUUCUAAAAGCGUUGUCUUAAAAAAAUGCGCGGUCCAAAUAAAUAUGAUAGCUUUUACCGUAAUAUAUACAAAUGAUAGUCCAACUCUUAUAAUUAUAAAUCCAAAAUCAGCCCUCCACAACUUACGACCGUAUUUUUGUCGUAAUAUCAAUGAUACUACCGUCGAACCUAUCAUCGUAAAAUCUAUUCCAAAAAGUGAGUGAGGGUCCCAUAUAUUACUAACGACGACAAUUUUGUCGUAAAAUACUAUAACUAACGAUAGUAUAUUUGUCGUAAAUAUAUUGGUCCCACAGUAAUAAGGGUAAUGAAUUCUAUUUUUAUUUAUUAAAAAGUUUUGAAGACACGUAUUAUUUUUAUUUCUUAGUCUUUUUUAGUAAAAAAUGCUUUGCUUAUACUUUCUUACUACACGUGGUUGAUAACAAUGCUUGCAACUUCAAAAUAUAUAACAUUUAUCAAUAGUUUAAUUUCAAAAGUUUAUAUUAAUUAAUCCAAAUGUAAGUGUCACUUAUUUCUUUUAUUUAUUAAAUGUAUCAAAGACCAAUCUCUAAUAAGAAGAUAUGAAGAAUGUGAAUUAACUAUCUUGCAAUAUUUGAUUAUCCACGUAACUACAUAAUAAUAAAGUGUACAUGUCUAUAUACCUAUCAUUAUACGUAGAUACAGUCAUUCAGACUUAUUUAUUUAGUUUAACGUAUAAUUUAAAAUUCUAUUAAUAUAAUGUCCAGAUUGACGUAUAAUGUUGAGUUUGAUGAAUAAUUUCACUUUAAUGUUCUUGACAUAUAAUAAACUUAAAUAUUACAAAAUUAUGUCUAACAUAAAAUUUUCGACCUAAUUUGUAUGUGAAAAUUAAAAUAUUAUUUAGUAUCAAAUUUAUUUUGAAAUAAUAAUAAACAAACAAUAAAUAAUUGACGCCCGUGCGCGGAACGUAAUACUCUGUCUCCUAAUAAUAGUGGGACGAUGCAUUCUCAGAGCAUGUUACCUGGCUCAAUGCUGAACGCGGGCCUCUAUUUUAAACUAAUUAAAUCAAUUUGUGAUAUAUACUAUGAUUGAUAGAUCAAAUCAUCACAGAUGACAAAACUAUCUUCUAAUAUGUGUGUUCUGUAGAAAAAGGAAGGAUAGAAUUUCAGACCGCAUGCAUUGAUGCUAACCAAGAUUUAAAAACACUCAAGACAAUAGUUUUGAUCAAUAUUGGUAAGGUUGUCUAACAAACCACUAUUAAUGCUGAGGAUCUAAACUUCUUCUGUUUAAAGUUUUUGUUUUUCUAUCUCUCUUUAUAUACUAAUAUAGGACAAUCAAGCCCAAAUAUUUGUUUGAUGUGUUGGAUUUUGGACCAUUCCGGGCCACUUCCCUUCAUGUAUCUUUCUUCUAUUAUAGGACAGUCAAAUAUCAUCAGGUACUGAAGAUUGUCAUGGAACUUUAGCAAACUCUCCAAAUUUGCACAACCAGUAAUAGAUAAGCUCUCUAGAAAUGGAAGCUUUGCUAGUGAAAUGGGAAGAGAUUUCACUCCUCUAAACAAAUCUAUGUGUAAUUGACGCAAGGCAGGAAAGAUGGAGAAGAGAUAAUCAUCAGGUUUCCCUUCAUCCACUAUCCACUUUAGCUUUUUCCACCCAGUCACUGUUAGCUUGAUUACAUUGGGAAAAGAAAAGGAUGAGGGCCAUGGGAAUUCAUCUAAAUCCUCCGAGAAGUCUCCUAAUUCCAAAGAUUCAAUUGUAGAACUCACAUUUUGGGCAAGCACCUCAUUGUUCGGACACCUCAAAAUAGAAAGAUCUUUUAGAGCAUCGACCAUUUGAUUGUUUUCAGGUCAGGCAAAUCAUGCACACUUAAGCUCUUUAAACCUACUCCAAGUGUCAAGUGUGUCAAUCCUUGUAACUUUCGUACACUCAAAGUUUUCAAAGACACAGAAUUGUUUUUCAAGAGCUCGCCCAUUAUGCAGUUCAUGCUUGAAGAAGAAGAAGAACAUCCCACUCCUCCAUUGAUAUUCUGGAGGAGUACAUCUGUGAGACCGCAUGCCUUUUCGCUCAAUGAUUCCAGUAACUUGCUGCUAUCCAAGUCUGUGAUGUGCAGUGUAUUGAUCAUCAACGGAUAACGUACAACUACUUGGAAUCCUUAUCAACUUUGAACAGCACGAAAUACGUAACACUUUGAGUUUAGCAAAUGCUAGCACAUUAUGUGGGUCUUCACCGCUUGUAUCCAUAACUGGGUCUAGCCAUUCUUCUAGCUUUGGCAAAUCCUGUAAAUCUAAUCUUUCCAAUGACGGAUACAUUGUUGCAAUUGUUUCUUCUGCCCCAUUUUCACCACUAAUGCUACCUUCACCUCCACAUAAAUGGCUCCUUAUGACCUUGACGUUAUCCAUCCCCUCUAUCUCUAUUGUAAAUUAUACGAGCAAGAGUUGUUUUGCCUUGACCUCCCAUUCCCAUUACAGCAAUGACUGGUAAAUCCUCUGCAUGAUUUGUGCACACUGUUUCGACUAAAAAUGAUAUUUCAUCCUCUCUUCCAACUAUCUGUGACUCAUCUUCAAAGGGGGGGAGUAUUGAGGACUUCGUUGAGUAGUCGUUAAAUGCGCCACAGGCUGAAGUCCGAGAUCUCUGGCCAAUUGAAAAAUUUUGUCGAAAGAGGAAUGGAUAGACUUGAUCUUAUGAGCAACCUUAAAACGAUAAAGUAUGCUCUUUUUAGAAGAAAAGAAGUGCUUCAACGUACCAAGAUUUUCAACCUUUCGCCGAGUGACUUCAUAAGCAAGUUCAUCCAUGAAAACAUCAGCUACACGAGCAACAUCCUCCAGUUUGCUGAACCAGCUCUGGACAGCAGACAUCUUUAGCCUUUUGCUAUCCGCAUCGGACAGAAGAGCAUCAAUGGUUUCCAACCUUUCUUGCAGGGUUACCAGAUCUUCCUGCAGAUUCCAAGCCUGGAUGACUUCAUCAGCUGCAAGAGAAACAAGCUUGAAAACCAGGCCACUAGCACAGAUAAAGAAAUGUUUGUAAUGUAUGGAGAUUAUAAUUUGAUACAGUGUAAUAGAAGUUAAAUUACAAUGUAAGAAUACAGAUUCUUGGCCCGAAUAAGGUUCGCAUUAGAGUUUAGAAAUCAAUUAACAUUUUUCCCAGUACCCUAGUACCGACACCCAGUGCCAACUCCCAUACAUUACCACUACCUCUGGCACUAAAAGUUAAACCCGAGGUAAUGAAAAAUACAAUGCGCUUGGUUCUUUCAUUUCUUAUGACUUAGCCUGGUCUUUGUGAUCAUGCUCCUACUCACAUGUCCGCGGCUGAGCAUUGUAGAAAGUCGGGCCUUGUGGUCAAUCACGCUAAUGAAUGUGAUCAAGCACGUGACAGAGCUGGCUCUAUUAGCGUGGCAACUCCAAUAUAACCUCUAGCAGCUGCACUGUAAGUUAAACCCGGGGAAAUAACAAAUACAAUCCGCGUGGUCCUUUCAUUUCUUACGACUUUCCACUUUUUUAUCUCCUUAUUUUUUGUCUCAAAAUAACUUGAUUUUCCACUGUUAAAGAGGAGAACCUGAAUUCAUUUUCCAGAAAUCAUGUCACAGAUAUAUUUUUUUUCCUUGAACUAAGCAAGUGUGGGCAAAUAUUUUCCAGAAAUUUUUGCUUUAAACCAUGAAAAUAUUUUUUUAGGAUAUUAAAAUACGCUAGGAAAAAAGAGCAUCAAUAGUUUCCAACCUUUCUUGCAGCGUUACCAGAUGUUCCUGAAUGUUAAGCCUGGAUCACUUGUUCAGUUGCAAGUGAAACAAGCUUGAAAAGCAGGCCACUAGCAAGAUCAGCUACCAAUGCAUCAGCCAUGUUUAUGAGUAUAGCUGUUUAGUAAAACAAAUGUUUGUAAUGUAUGGAAAUGUAUAGCAGAUUACAAUGAAAUAAUAUUGCAGAUUCUUGCUUCGAACUGGGUUGAGCAGAAGCCAGUGAAUGAUGGGUAGGGUAGUUAAAUUACAAGUUAAAAUGCAAAUUUCAAUGUGUAGUAAUGCAGAUUCCAAAGAUUUUCGCCAGAAACGAGUGAAUAUUUGCAUUAAAAAUUCAAUUUUUGCCAAUUAAUUAAUACUAAUCUCCCAGUACCCUCCAACUCCAAUACAUUACCUCUAGCACUAGCUAUAAGUUAUCCCUGAGGAAAUAAGAAAUACAAUUCACGUGAUCCUUUCAUUUCUUAUGACUUUCCACUUUUAUAUUUCCUUAUUUUUUGUCUCAAAAUAAUUUGAUUUCCAUUAUUAAUUAAAGCGGAGAAUGUGAAGUCAUUUUCCAGUCUCCAGAAAUCAUGUCAUAUAUUUCAGAGAAAUUAUUCUAGGAUAAUAAAUAUUUUACUUUCUAGGAACUAAACAUAAAACAAGUGCAGGAAAAUAUCAUAAGUUUAUCUAUGCACCAGCUCUCCCUUUGGACAUUCUGGUAUGUAGGUUGGAGUAGUAGGUUGAAUGCAUUGCAUCUAAUAAAUCCUCCCAGAAGGGUCCUAAUUCCAGAUAUUUUAGACCAUAUAUCCAACCCUUUAAUGACAUUAAUAGUAUUCAGGUCAGGCAAAUCAUGCACACUUGAGCUCUUUAAACCUACGUCAGGUGUCAAGUAUGUCAAUCCCCGUAACUUAUAAGUAAUCUUUAAUUAAAUUAAAAUCAUUAAUCUAUCACAUUUUUUAAAAUCAAUAAUCUAUCAAAUUUAUUUUAUUAUUAUUUUAGUAACUUAUAAGUACUCCAUAAUAUUAAAUUAAAAUCAAUAAUCUGUCAAACUUUCUAUUAUUAUUAUGUUAAUAACUCGGAAAUCAUGUAUAAUACUUAAUUAUCCAAGCAUUAAUCCAAACAGAGGCACUUACUACAAGAGCAUCUCCAAUGAGGAUCUUAAAUCACUCUUUAAAAUAUAAUAUAAUAUGUGGCUCCUACUGAGUUAAGAUAUUAAAAAAAGAUGACAACUCCAAUACGCCUUAUUUUAUUCCUACAAAUGAGAGGGAAAAGUACAAAAACAAAGAUGCUAGAGAUAAAAUUGGAGGGAAACUAAUAUUAUAUUCAUAAAUAAAAAGUUAAGAGCUACUCGAUGCUCUUUAAAAGAGAGGAAAGAUGCGGGCUCUCACAUUUUUAAAGAGCUUUUUAGGAGCCAAGUCGAGCUCUAAUUUUUCGUCUUAAUCUUUAAAUUUGAAAUUAAAAGCUUGUUUAGAGAGUACCUUGAAAAUAUGAGGCAUACCCAUAUAUUGAAGGAUGAAGGCUGGUGCACCUCUUUAAAAAGACUCAGAUGUAUUGUUUUAUUAGACUGAAGUUGAAAGCCUUUCUUAAAACCUGCUUAAGUCUAUGAUUCCGAAACUGCAUGAAAGGUAUAUCCAUAUUCCAUAUAUAAAAGAAAGUAAAGUUUUACGUUUAUUAGUAUUGUAUAAAUAUUCAUUCAUUUAAUUAUUAGUUAAAUCAUUUUUGGCCAUGCAUGUUCUCCUAGAAGUAGAACCAUUUGCGAAAUGAAUUAAGUAUUUUGUAAAAUUCAAAUGUAGGAGUAAUAUAUAUGAUGCAUAAAAUAUUUAUCAUGAGACCAUGAGUAAAAUAUAACUUGACAUAUACGUAUUAUUUUAUCAACUUCAACGAAAUAACGAAUGUCUUUUAUUAUUUCUUAACUAUUAUAUUGCAUGAUUAGAUGUCAAAGUGCAUGAUAAUUGCCUCGCUUGAUUCGUAUUUAGAAUAGAGCAAGUUUAUUAUGUGUUGUUAACUAACAAAUAACAAUGAUAGAAUACAGAAAUGUAAAAGACCUCAUUCAAAUUUUCUUAACAUCACUGUAUGACGUUACUCUCAUCAGUCAAGCCCAUGUAUUUGUUUGAUGUGUUGGAUUUUGGACCAUUCCGGUCCGCUUCCCUUCAUGUAUCUUUCUUUUAUUAUAGGACAGCUAUAUAUCUCCAGGUACUGCAAGUUGUGAUGGAACUUUGGCAAACUCUCCAAAUUUCCACAAAGAUCAAUUGAUAAUCUCUCCAGGAAUGGAAGCUUUGCUAGUGAGAUGGGAAGAGAUUUCACUCCUUCAAACACCUGUAUGUCUAAUUGACGCAAGGCAGGGAAGAUGGAGGAGAGAUAAUCAUCAGGUUGGCCUUCAUCCACUAUCCACUUUAGCUUUUCCCACCCACACACUCUUAGGUAGAUUACAUUGGGAAAAGAGAAGGACGAGGGCCAUGGGAAUUCAUCUAAAUCCUCCGAGAAGGGUCCUAAGUCCAAUCUUUCAACUGUAGAACUCACACUUUGGGCAAACACCUCAUAGUUCAGACACUCCGAAAUGGAAAGAUCUUUUAGAGCAUCCGACCCUUUGACAAUAUUAAUAGUAUUCAGGUCUGGCAAAUCACUCACACAUAAACUCUUUAAACCUGCGCCGAGUGUCAAAUGUGUCAAUCCCUGUAACUUUAUUACAGUCAAAGUUUCCAAAGACACAGAAUUGUUUUUCAAGAGCUUGCCGAUUAUGCAGUUC
rnacentral:lncRNA from 1 species